rnacentral:piRNA from 1 species
UGGCACGGUGCUAGGGAUUUCUGU